GGGGCUGUAGCUCAGUGGUGUAGCACCUGCUAUGCAUGCAAAAGGCCCUAGGUUCAAUCCCCAGCAUCUCUA